GAUGAACGCUGGCGGCGUGCCUAAUACAUGCAAGUCGAGCGAACGGACGAGAAGCUUGCUUCUCUGAUGUUAGCGGCGGACGUGUGAGUAACACGUGGAUACCCUACCUAUAAGACUGGGAUAACUUCGGGAAACCGUAGCUAAUCCCGGAUAAUAUUUUGAACCGCAUGGUUCAAAAGUGAAAGACGGUCUUGCUGUCACUUAUAGAUGCAUCCGCGCUGCAUUAGCUAGUUGGUAAGGUAACGGCUUACCAAGGCAACGAUGCAUAACCGACCUGGAAGGGUGUUCGGCCCCAGUGAACCUGAGCCGCGGUCCAGGCACCUACGGGAGGCAGAGGUAGCGACUCUUGCGCGCUGGGCGAAAGCCUGACGGAGCAGCGCCGCGUUGGUGAUGAAGGUCCUCGGGUCGUAUAACUGUGUUAUUAGGGAAAAACAUAUGUGUAAGUAACUGUGCACGUCUUGCCGGUACCUAAUCAGAAAGCCACGGCUAACUACUU
rnacentral:rRNA from 1 species